rnacentral:rRNA from 1 species
CCUACGGGUGGUAGCAGUAGGGAAUAUUGGACAAUGGGCGAAAGCCUGAUCCAGCCAUGCCGCGUGGUAGAUGAAGGCCCUCUGGGUUGUAAAUACCUUUUAUCUGGGAAGAAAUAUCUCGUUCUCGAGAAACUGACGGUACCAGAUGAAUAAGCACCGGCUAACUCCGUGCCAGCAGCCGCGGUAAUACGGAGGGUGCAAGCGUUAUCCGGAUUUACUGGGUUUGUAGGCGGGGUUAGCAGGAUUAUAUGAAAGCCCCGAGCUUAACUUGGGAAUUGCCAUUGAUACUGUUUUUCUUGAAUACGAUGGAGGUAAGCGGAAUGUUGCAUGUAGCGGUGAAAUGCUUAGAUAUGUUACAGAACACCAAUUGCGAAGGCAGCUUACUAAGUCGUCAUUGACGCUGAGGCACGAAAGCGUGGGGAGCAAACAGGAUUAGAUACCCGGGUAGUC